CCAACAGGGAUUGCCUCAGUAACGGCGAGUGAAGCGGCAACAGCUCAAAUUUGAAAGCUGGCUCUUUCAGGGCCCGCAUUGUAAUUUGUAGAGGAUGCUUCGGGUGCGGCGCUGGUCUAAGUUCUUUGGAACAAGACGUCAUAGAGGGUGAGAAUCCCGUAUGUGACUAGCUGCCUGUGCCUGUGUGAAGCUCCUUCGACGAGUCGAGUUGUUUGGGAAUGCAGCUCAAAAUGGGUGGUGUACUUCAUCUAAAGCUAAAUAUUGGCCAGAGACCGAUAGCGCACAAGUAGAGUGAUCGAAAGAUGAAAAGCACUUUGGAAAGAGAGUUAAACAGUACGUGAAAUUGUUGAAAGGGAAGCGCUUGCAAUCAGACUUGCGCGGCGUCGAUCAACCUGGGUUCUCCCUGGUGCACUCGGCGCUGCUCAGGCCAGCAUCAGUUUCAGCGGUUGGAUAAAGGCCUAGGGAACGUGGGUUACUUCGGUGACUGUUAUAGCCCUAGGUGCAAUGCAGCCUGUUGGGACUGAGGACCGCGCUUCGGCUAGGAUGCUGGCGUAAUGGUUGUAAGCGACCCGUCUUGAAACACGGACCAAGGAGUCUAACAUCUAUGCGAGUUUUUGGGUGUCAAACCCAUAAGCGUAAUGAAAGUGAACGGAGGUGAGAACCCUUAAGGGUGCAUCAUCGACCGAUCCUGAUGUCUUCGGAUGGAUUUGAGUAAGAGCAUAGCUGUUGGGACCCGAAAGAUGAUGAUCUAUACCUGAAUAGGGUGAAGCCAGAGGAAACUCUGGUGGAGGCUCGCAGCGGUUCUGACGUGCAAAUCGAUCGUCAAAUUUGGGUAUAGGGGCGAAAGACUAAUCGAA
rnacentral:rRNA from 1 species